rnacentral:rRNA from 1 species
GCAAGAUUAAAACUCAAAGGAAUAGACGGGGACCCGCACAAGUGGUGGAGCAUGUGGUUUAAUUCGAAGAUACGCGAAGAACCUUACCUAGCCUUGACAUUGAUAGAAUCUUCCAGAGAUGGAGGAGUGCCUUUCGGGGAACUUGAAAACAGGUGCUGCACGGCUGUCGUCAGCUCGUGUCGUGAGAUGUUGGGUUAAGUCCCGCAACGAGCGCAACCCUCGUCAUUAGUUACUAACAGUUCGGCUGAGGACUCUAAUGAGACUGCCUUCGUAAGGAGGAGGAAGGUGAGGACGACGUCAAGUCAUCAUGGCCCUUACGGCUAGGGCGACACACGUGCUACAAUGGUUAGGACAAUGAGAAGCGAUACCGCGAGGUGGAGCAAAUCUAUAAACCUAAUCUCAGUUCGGAUUGUAGUCUGCAACUCGACUACAUGAAGCUGGAAUCACUAGUAAUCGUAGAUCAGCCAUGCUACGGUGAAUACGUUCCCGGGUCUUGUACUCACCGCCCGUCACACCAUGGGAGUUGAUUUCACCCGAAGCGGGGAAGCUAAACUGGCUACCCUCCACGGUGGAAUUAGCGACUGGGGUGAAGUCGAAGCAACAUA